rnacentral:rRNA from 1 species
GUGAAAUCCUGUAAUCCCUGGGGGACCGCCGGUGGCGAAGGCGCCUGGCUAGAACGGGUCCGACGGUGAGGGACGAAGCCCUGGGGAGCAAACCGGAUUAGAUACCCGGGUAGUCCAGGGUGUAAACGAUGCGGGCUUGGUGUCGGGGAUCCUGCGAGGGUACCCGGUGCCGGAGCGAAGGCGUUAAGCCCGCCGCCUGGGGAGUACGGCCGCAAGGCUGAAACUUAAAGGAAUUGGCGGGGGAGCACCGCAACGGGAGGAGCGUGCGGUUUAAUUGGAUUCAACGCCGGAAAACUCACCGGAGAAGAGUGGCAGAUGUGGGUCAGGCUGAUGGCCUUGCCCGAACGUCACAGAGGUGGUGCAUGGCCGUCGUCAGCUCGUACCGUAAGGCGUUCUGUUAAGUCAGAUAACGAGCGAGACCCUUAUCCGCAAUUGCUAUCCGGUCCUCCGGGAUCGGAGCACAUUGCGGAGACCGCUGGUGCUAAACCAGAGGAAGGAUAGGGCAACGGUAGGUCAAUAUGCCCCGAAUUCUCCGGGCUACACGCGCGCUACAAAGGGCCGGACAGUGGGUAUCGACACCGAGAGGUGGAGGCAAUCCCGAAACCGGUCCAUAGUUUGGAUCGAGGGGCAACUCGCCCUCGUGAAACUGG